UCCCAAACUGCAUCUUCAGCAACAACGAGCUGCCUAUGCUCGUCCCAACCAAAGCCGCUAUUGUUUUGGCCAUUAAGCAUGUCAUAGACGACUGACCAUUCCCUUUUUAGGCACCUAAUCCGAGAUUCAAUAUUUGGUUUCGCCUUCAACAUUGCUCUUGGUAAAGCCUUUUCUAGCAUUUUCUCUAGCUCGUUCAAAUAACCGGCUUUGAACCUGGUAUCAGCAUUAAAUGUUCCUACAUUGUGCAAAUCCACCAUGCAAGAAACCAAGGCUGCAUCUUCUUCUAGAACC
rnacentral:lncRNA from 1 species